rnacentral:lncRNA from 1 species
AUCCAUUGUGUCAUGUAAGACUUUCUGUUUAUGUCUGUGGUCUAAACUGGAGUCUGACACUGAAGACAACUUUGAGGAGACAUCAGGCUCAUGUUUUUCUUUCCCUUUUUUGGCUGCUUUCAAAUAUUUUGAAUUAUUUUUCAAAUCCUCAACAUCUUCAUAUAUUUCUUGGCUCACAUUUUCUUGCUUUUUAAUUUUCACUUUUUGAUCAUUUGCUAUGCCCAGUUCAAAAGACUGAAGAGGGCUAAUGUCUGGAGUUGAUAAGGGACUUACGUCGGUCACAGUAUCUUCAGACUCCUCAGGGUAGUGGCCACAUUUUGGUGUAGUACUUGAAGGCUGUGUUUCUGUCGAUUUUAUUCCUGAUUGAUACUUCUGUUUUGGUGACAGGAGGGUUAUACCAGACGCAUGUUUCUUGGAUGACGGAGACGAAUCAGAUAGAUGGCUAUCAGACCCUGCAUCUAAACCAUCUGUACCUGAACCUGAAGAUGAGGAAGAUAAAGAGGAGGAGGAGGAGCUAACUUUGCGAUACUUUUUCCUCGUGCUUUUUUUAACUUACGAAGGAAGAAGCAGAGACAAGGAGAUGAUUCCU